rnacentral:snoRNA from 1 species
GUUUUUUUUUUUAAAUUUAUAAGAACUAUCUAUUUUAUUAAAAGUUUUCUCCCAUGCCAGAGCAAACUGUGGCCCUGAACCAUUGCCUGGCCUGUGCCCAUAGGCUCCUGGCACUGAAGCGGGUUGCACAGUG